UACGUGGGGGGCAAGCGUUGUUCGGAAUUACUGGGCGUAAAGGGCUCGUAGGCGGUCAACUAAGUCAGACGUGAAAUCCCUCGGCUUAACCGGGGAACUGCGUCUGAUACUGGAUGGCUUGAGGUUGGGAGAGGGAUGCGGAAUUCCAGGUGUAGCGGUGAAAUGCGUAGAUAUCUGGAGGAACACCGGUGGCGAAGGCGGCAUCCUGGACCAAUUCUGACGCUGAGGAGCGAAAGCCAGGGGAGCAAACGGG
rnacentral:rRNA from 1 species